rnacentral:lncRNA from 1 species
AAAAAUGUCUUCAUUCUGCAAAAUAGAAAUCAGAGACUCUCUCUACUUACACUCUUCUCUCUCACAAACUCAGCAUCAUUCAUCAUCCUUAUUCCACCACAUAUCAAUUCUUUCACUUCUCAAAUUCAAGAUGCAAGUCUAUUUUCAUGACUAAUAGGUUGUAAGCUACAUGGAGAGGUAAGUUUCAUUUCAAGUACCCAAUCCAUCACUCAAAUUCGUGCCUUUCAAAUCAAUCCUAAAUCUCUAUUUCAUCUUGCAUGAGAGUUUUGAAAGAUUAAGAAGCCAUGGAUUCAAGAACAGGGCUUCACUAAAACGGUAACAGAUCUCUCUCUAUAAUUCCGAUUGAAAUUCGGUUUGUUUUUAUGGAUAGCUAACUCAAAUACGGUCGUUGUGGUGUUGGUUUCAUAAUUUUUGGACGAGUGAUGAGGUAGGUAGACAUUUUUUAAGUUGGAAGUCAGUAGCAGGAAUUGUGCAGAAAAUCUGGAUUUUGGUGUUUUAUGGGUUACGGGUUUGCAUCUUGAGCGGCACAAAACAGUUCGGAAUUGCUAUCAACUCAGGUGGGUUCUCUAGGUUCUUAACCUUGAUUUAAAUAGAAGCCUUAGUUUUCCCAAAUUUUGCCCUUUUGCAUGAGGUAAAUUAGAGGAUUUUAUGUACAACUCUUAAAUCACUUAAAUUAAUCAACUGAAAUUGACCCUUGUAUAAGGGAAGAACUGGAAUUUGAUGUAAUAACUUAUGUAUGGAAGCUGCACUGUUUGUCGUUUUUAUGAAAAAUCACACAGGUCCCAAGCUUGAGCCGGUUCAAACAGAAAAUGAGCCAGUGCAUUGUUUCUUUCAAAACAUGUUUUACGAAAAUUGGAAACAAUUGAAUCGGUGCAUCCCUCUGUUGAAUUGACUCAACCUAGUCAUGAACAGGCUUGAACCGGUGUAAGGAUAUCUUGAACCGAUACAUAUAGCCAGAAGGCAUUUAUUUAUUUAUUUAUUUGGACUAUGUGAAUCACAGAAUCAGUACAUAAUUCCUCGCACCAGUGUCUAACUGAUAAUUGAAAGUGGAUUCUUGUCCUACCUUUUAAUCAGAAAAUGAAGUUAUUUAUACCCGUGUCAGAUUAGAUAAAAUCAACUAAGCUCAAGAUUAGAUAAAAUGAUAGGAAUGUUAGAAUUACUCGGGAAGGUUUUUUUUUCUUUGGGUAGGAUAACAAAAUCAGGAUUAGAAAUUAUGUUUUAGAAUUUAUCAGGAGGAUAUUAGAACCAAUAUCAGGACGUGUGAUCAUUAGUUACCAUGUGAGGGGAUUCAUUUCAGAACCUGAGGAAUUUAAUAAGAAUUGCAAGCUGAGGCGGAACCCGACAUAUAUUAUUAUCGGUAGUACGAUGACUAGGCACUCCGGGACCCGCUUGCCUCGGAGUGACCCUAUGAGAAUAAAAUUGACAAGAUAAUAAUAAGUGUUACACCUUUAUUGCUUUAUAUUAUUAUGUUAUGAAAACUUCAGGAUUAUGUUAAGAUUAGAACUAUUAGAUAUUCAGGUUCAGGUUAAGUUAGAAACUAUUGGUUUCAGUUGCCCCAGUGUAGUUACCGGUUGUUGGGUAGUAGGAACUCACUCAGGCUUAGUAGUCUAAUCCCACGCCCUUCAAUUUUUUUAGGUAAACAGGUUAACCGGAGCAAGGACCAGACAGGUACCGAUGAUCGAGACUGAGUUUGGAUUAUUAGAUUAGAAGACUUUCGUCUUCUUCUUUGCUUUAUGUUAAACUGUAUUCAUAAUUUAGUUCACUUUCCGCUGUAUUGUACUCAGAUUUCAAUUAUUAAUAACUCGACUAAAUAUUCUAGACAAUAUUUAGUUGAGGUGUAACAAUAUCUUCUAAUUUUAAAACAAGUCAAGACUAAAGUCAUAUAUAAUGAACAAAAAGAGAGGCUCGUUAUACAAAGUUGACGAAAAAAGUGUCUGGCUAUUAUGCUAUGUUUCU